UAAAUCCAUUAUGGAUUUCUUCUUACUACAUCUACUAUUAAUCUAUUCUGGAUUUCAUUAGGAAAGUGUAUAAUACCUUUUUUAUUCCUAUUUAUUAUUAAUCUACUCUGCCUUAAACAAAGAAUAUGUUAAAGGGAAAUUUCUUGUUUGACAAUAAUACAUUAAUUUACAAAUAACACAUCAUAUAUAUCUACAGUCUACACAUACACAAUUUUAUAUUAUUGUCCGCUACUACUAUUUUAGAUUAUCAGUUCACCAGUGUAUGAUAUAAUGUUAAAAGUGUAUAUUAUUUGUUUUCUGAUACUUAUAGUAUUAUAUGUGAAAACUACUAAGAGCAAAUAAAUGCAAAAAUGGGUAAAAUAUCACAUCACUAACCACAUCAGAAAAGUAAUUGUGUUAUUAAUUUUCACUGAAAAAGGGAAAAAAGAUGUCAUAUAUUCUCUAUUUAGUGAAAUGCGAAGCAUACUUGAAGACACCAGAAAAACCUUUUGGCUCGCUGUAGGUAAUAAGGCAUCACUUGUUCAGUGCAUGCUCGUCAAAAUAUUUUUUUUGAAACUGGAGGUGGACUAAGACCAAAUUUGGUGCAUGAUACCCGUGAAACUCAAGGAACUCCAGUAAUAGUAAAAUUGCACAAAAAUUCUCUGAAGUAAUAUUACUUAAACAAACAGUCAACUUAGAAGAUCCAUACAACAUUUCUAAUUGAGAAUGAGUUGCUAUUUUGCCGAAGAAGAUUUUAAGGAUGCAUUUGUUGGAGCAGCAAAGAAGCAACACAGGGUUCGCCGUAGCAUAAAGUCUGUUUCUUCUCCUAUUCUUAGUCAAAGCAAGAUAUAUUUUACUUAUAGAAUAUCGUCGGGGUUUUCUUUACAGGGAAACACUUAAAAUACUCAUGGUCUAUUUGUGCAGAAUACAACCAAACAAUAACAAUGCCCCACGUAUUAUGCGACUUCAAGAUGUUGGAUUCAUUAAUGGAUUAGGGGGAGAUGAUUAGGAGUAGUCCUUCUUCAAACGAACUCCUAUACUAUUUUGAGGGAGAAUUGAAAAUAUUUUUAAUGGCCUUUAACACAAUUAUUAGACUCCAUACAUUAAUCUCUGUGGCACAGUAUACGAAUGUUUAUCCUUGGUAAUGUAAAUCGUGUAUAUUUUUUAGCAGGUCCAUUUUUUUGGAAUUAGUGAUCUGAAGAAUGAAUUUUUAUUUCCUAAGAUAUUUUCAAUACUAUUUAACUCCUGAGUAGUGAACUUCCUUUUCUACUACAUUCAAUUAUAUUCAAAAACAGAUUGAACGUUGUGUGUGCAUAUAAAAAACGGAGAGUAACCCUGACUAUUUGUUGCAGAGUUAUAAUUGUAAGUCCUUGCUGAACUCAGAGUAGAAUUGAGGAUCGACAUCAGAGUAAUUCUUGCCAAUGUUCUUGUUUAUUUCUCCCCUCCUUCCUUCUUACAGCUAGUAGUAGCUUAUCUAAUGAAACCUCAUGAUAGCUAAGUUGCUCUCCCCCAAAACAUUCUUCAAAUUAAAAAUCAAACAUUAACAAAUGGAAUUACCAUGUUAAUUAUAGUCUUCUUUUUUUUAAUAUGCCCAAAAUACACAAAAUUUUCAUUACUAUUUAUCUAUCUCACAUAAGAGUAAAGGUUGCUCUUAGAAAAUUUGGAUUAUAUCAAUAACAGGAUGUAAGAUAUGCGCCUAAUAAAAUGGGAUAUUUUAUGGACAAAUUUGGUUCUUAAGACAAGGAAGACAUAUACGGUGCGCGUCCAACGAUGAAAAUUAUAUACCAGAAGUUGACAGUGGCACUGAAUAACUGUCUGACAUUAAAGAAGAAAAAACAAUAAACAUGAAGAAGAAUAUGACUGAGACAAAAGCAGUGAACUUAGCACUACUGGAUCUCAAAAGUGCAACUUGGAUCGUUAAGUAUGAAACGGUAUGGUGUAAAAAUUCAUUGUCUAAGGUGCAAACAAGAACGUGUAACCUUCUUCGACAAAGAGGUGGGUAUGUAGCUAACACCAGCUUAUUUACUGAGAAAGAGCUCUCCAUGUCUAUCAAUGGUUUAGAGAUGGGUGACGUCAUAUUGAGAUAAACAAAUAAAAAAUGAGGAAGAUUUUGUAAAGCUUUUAUAAAUAGCCCGCUUUAGAGAGGUAUGGUACUAAGAUUUUCUGGGCUUUUGAUGAAUUCAAUGCUUAUCUCCUACAAAAAUAAAAUACUGGAGAGCCCUGAAAGGUGAAUGUUGGUAAAAAAAACCCAGCUUUGAAUCAUGUAAAAAGGCUGUGGAAGAAACGCCACCACUGUCAAUUUCAUUGAAUGUAUGGAGCUACCUAAAGUAUAAACAGCUAGUGGGAACAUUAAGAAAAAACCCAAUUAUUCGUUCGAAGUAAUAUACAAUCAAAAAGGAAAGGGCAAUUUACUCAACCAAUUUUGCCUACCAUAAAGAAACAACUGAAAAAAAGUGGUGCUUCUAUCAUCUAAACAUAUCACUGGAGAAGUUGAGAGCACACAAUGACGCAAGUCAGAGAUUUUCAUGUAUUAUAUCAAAAACAAAGACGGUGCAAACACGAUAGACAAAAUUCUGUGCAAGUAAACUGUACAACGACGAACAAUACGCCGACCUUUGCCAUUUUUCUAUGCCUUAGCGUCGUUUAUCAUAUACAGAGAAAACAACAGAUGGCUACA
rnacentral:lncRNA from 1 species